rnacentral:tmRNA from 1 species
GGGGGCGUCACGGUUUCGACGUGUUUGGUGAAGUUGGGGCUGCGUGUCGAGGUUCCGGGAACCUCGUUAAUCCACCGGAAAAACCAAUAGACGCCAACGAUAACCUGGCUCUGGCUGCGUAAGGUAACCCCUUAGCGGUCCGUCUCCUGAUCAGCCUGCCUGGGGCGGGUCAACGAGACGUCAGCAAUUCAGGCUGGCCACUCGAGGGUGCUGUCCCCGAGAGGGCGAGAAACUCAGGCAGCUAGCCCGGACAGGUUGUUCCCUGACCUGGCCGAUCGCGAAAACAAACAGGGCUCUACGCACGUAGAAGCUCCCACGGAUCAAUUCGCGGACGCGGGUUCGACUCCCGCCGCCUCCACU